GUGUCAGCCGCCGCGGUAAUACGUAGGGUGCGAGCGUUAAUCGGAAUUACUGGGCGUAAAGCGUGCGCAGGCGGCUUUUCAAGACAGAGGUGAAAUCCCCGAGCUCAACCUGGGAAUUGCGUUCGUGACUGCAUCGCUGGAGUGCGGCAGAGGGGGAUGGAAUUCCGCGUGUAGCGGUGAAAUGCGUAGAUAUGCGGAGGAACACCGAUGGCGAAGGCAGUCACCUGGCCCUGCACUGACGCUCAGGCACGAAAGCGUGGGGAGCAAACAGGAUUAGAUACCCUGGUAGUCCACGCCCUAA
rnacentral:rRNA from 1 species